GGCCUGAUGGCAGAGUGAUUAACGCUCUGGUCCCUGGUGUGGAUGUUUGUAGUGGUUCGAAUCCGCUUUAAACCG